AACAAACGCCGAACGGACAGAGUUUCCCCUAUCCGCCCAAGGCUCAUCACAUGUACAUUUUCAAAUAAGAAGUGCACUAGCGGAAACAUACACAAACGGCUUACACGAGGGUAAGCAAUAGCCAUUAGUGAAAGAAAAAGAAAACUAAACAUUCACAAGUAAUAUGAUUCAUUUUAGAUCAUAUACAUUGUAUCUAUCCAACUUGUACAUCCAAAAUCUUUACAUUCUUUCAUCAUUUCUUUUACAUCACAUUUACCUCAAAAUGAACAUUACAUUCUUUUCUUUACUUUGCUUUAUACAUCAACAUCUUAAAUCAUCAGAUACAAAGAUGAUAAAAGGGGUAAACUACUAACAAAAUGUGACCCAACUCCGGUGGCCUCUGACUACGGUGCGAUACCUUUACCGCGGUCGCUCGCCGGCUCGCUCGGUCCCGGCUCUGUGGAAAUAGUGGGGUGAGAACUACAACAAAGUUCCCAGUGGGUUCGGCCUCAACAUCACCGACUUUCCCACUAGGACUAACUCAGGCAUAAUAGAA
rnacentral:lncRNA from 1 species